GACUUUCACAUAAACUACAGAAUUCCCAUUGAUCUACUUUAUUUAGUAGUUUAUUAAAAAGAAAGUUAUUAAAAAGUUUAUUAAAAAGAACUAUAUUACAUUUUUAUACACAUAACUUAAAUGUUCAUGAUUGGAUAAUUAAUUUCCCUAAAUUCUUCAUAGUAAUGGUUGACUUUAUAACUGCAUUUAUGUUAUAUGACUGAUUGGAGCAUUUAUACAAAUAAAAAGAACUAUUAACUAAUAGAAAAGCAUUCUGUUCAGCUGAAAAAUAUUUUUAAAACACUGAUGACUAAGUACAUAAAUAAUUCAAGAGGUUCCUUGUAUCAUCUCUACUGAAGCAUAGUCGCCAUGGAAAGCCUCAAUCCAAAUGGUGAAAAUACAGCAAAGUUAUAAACAGCAGAAAAUACACUGAAACAUAGAAUUUGCUACUUAAAUGUUUCUAUGAAAAAAUCAAGAAACCCAGAACUGUACUACAAUCCAGUGGUGAUGCAGAGGGGGUGCAUAGGGGUGCAUGUGCACCC